rnacentral:rRNA from 1 species
UAGGGAAUCUUCCGCAAUGGGCGAAAGCUUGACGGAGCAACGCCGCGUGAGUGAUGAAGGUCUUCGGAUCGUAAAACUCUGUUAUUAGGGAAGAACAAAUGUGUAAGUAACUAUGCACGUCUUGACGGUACCUAAUCAGAAAGCCACGGCUAACUCCGUGCCAGCAGCCGCGGUAAUACGUAGGUGGCAAGCGUUAUCCGGAAUUAUUGGGCGUAAAGCGCGCGUAGGCGGUUUUUUAAGUCUGAUGUGAAAGCCCACGGCUCAACCGUGGAGGGUCAUUGGAAACUGGAAAACGUGAGUGCAGAAGAGGAAAGUGGAAUUCCAUGUGUAGCGGUGAAAUGCGCAGAGAUAUGGAGGAACACCAGUGGCGAAGGCGACUUUCUGGUCUGUAACUGACGCUGAUGUGCGAAAGCGUGGGGAUCAAACAGG